UACGUAGGGUGCAAGCGUUAUCCGGAUUUAUUGGGCGUAAAGGGCUCGUAGGCGGUUCGUCGCGUCCGGUGUGAAAGUCCAUCGCUUAACGGUGGAUCCGCGCCGGGUACGGGCGGGCUUGAGUGCGGUAGGGGAGACUGGAAUUCCCGGUGUAACGGUGAAAUGCGUAGAUAUUAGGAGGAACACCAGUGGCGAAGGCGGCUUACUGGACGGUAACUGACGUUGAGGCUCGAAAGCGUGGGUAGCGAACAGG
rnacentral:rRNA from 1 species